CCCCGGACGAGGCAGGGAGAGGCCAGGCCCACUCUUCCCCUCACCGCUCACGUGUGCCUGCCACGGAGCCCGGGGCUGGACUUGAGCAGGCGGGGAGAAGGCGGGGCAGUGACUCAAGGAAGGGCGGGCCGAUACGCCGCAGGGACAUCUCUGCAGGGCUCUGUCCCUUCAGGAGCUUCCCGGAGAUGCUUUACGGCUGCAUUUGCAACGCGCAGCGCCUCCAAGUGCUGGUGGGGCAGUCAGAAAGGUAGGACCGCCCUCCCAGCCGCUGGAAGGUUACGGUCUGAGGAGUGGACUAGGAGGGGCCCGGGACAGCGAUAGUCAGCCGCGAUAAUGAAAGACGCUCAGGUGCUAAAUACGUGGGUUUGAGAGUUCCUGUUACACAUUCUUACCAACUCUUAAGGUUGUAUAUUUAGCUAUUCUGCUUCCAUUUUUUUCAGAGAAACCUUGCCCAUUCCCUGAGGACCUUUAUCUCCCCCUCAGUGGAACGUGCUGUCAGUGGAAUUGGCUUGUGAAGAACUGCAAGGCUCCAUGCCCAAUAUGGGGCUUAAACUCA